GUGGGGAAUCUUGCGCAAUGGGGGAAACCCUGACGCAGCAACGCCGCGUGGGUGAUGAAGGCCUUCGGGUCGUAAAGCCCUGUCAAGUGGGAAGAAACAUGACGAUGUUAAUACCAUCGUCACUUGACGGUACCAUUGGAGGAAGCACCGGCUAACUCCGUGCCAGCAGCCGCGGUAAUACGGAGGGUGCAAGCGUUGUUCGGAAUUAUUGGGCGUAAAGAGCGUGUAGGCGGUCGGGUAAGUCAGAUGUGAAAGCCUUUUGCUUAACAGAAGAAGUGCAUUUGAGACUGCUCGGCUGGAGUACGGGAGAGGAGAGUGGAAUUCCCGGUGUAGAGGUGAAAUUCGUAGAUAUCGGGAGGAACACCGGUGGCGAAGGCGGCUCUCUGGCCCGAUACUGACGCUGAGACGCGAAAGCGUGGGGAGCAAACAGGAUUAGAAACCCCGGUAGUCC
rnacentral:rRNA from 1 species